ACGGGAGGCAGCAGUGGGGAAUAUUGCACAAUGGGGGAAACCCUGAUGCAGCGACGCCGCGUGAAGGAAGAAGUAUCUCGGUAUGUAAACUUCUAUCAGCAGGGAAGAUAAUGACGGUACCUGACUAAGAAGCCCCGGCUAACUACGUGCCAGCAGCCGCGGUAAUACGUAGGGGGCAAGCGUUAUCCGGAUUUACUGGGUGUAAAGGGAGCGUAGACGGCAUAGCAAGUCUGAAGUGAAAUGUAGGGGCUUAACCCCUGAACUGCUUUGGAAACUGUUAGGCUUGAGUACCGGAGGGGCAGGCGGAAUUCCUGGUGUAGCGGUGAAAUGCGUAGAUAUCAGGAAGAACACCGGUGGCGAAGGCGGCCUGCUGGACGGUAACUGACGUUGAGGCUCGAAAGCGUGGGGAGCAAACAGGAUUAGAUACCCUGGUA
rnacentral:rRNA from 1 species